rnacentral:rRNA from 1 species
GAUGAACGCUGGCGGCGUGCCUAAUACAUGCAAGUCGAGCGAACGGACGAGAAUCUUGCUUCUCUGAUGUUAGCGGCGGACGGGUGAGUAACACGUGGAUAACCUACCUAUAAGACUGAGAUAACUUCGGGAAACCGGAGCUAAUACCGGAUAAUAUUUUGAACCGCAUGGUUCAAAAGUGAAAGACGGUCUUGCUGUCACUUAUAGAUGGAUCCUCGCUGCAUUAGCUAGUUGGUAAGGUAACGGCUUACCAAGGCAACGAUGCAUAGCCGACCUGAGAGGGUGAUCGGCCACACUGGAACUGAGACACGGUCCAGACUCCUACGGGAGGCAGCAGUAGGGAAUAUUCCGCAAUGGGCGAAAGCCUGACGGAGCAACGCCGCGUGAGUGAUGAAGGUCUUCGGAUCGUAAAACUCUGUUAUUAGGGAAGAACAUAUGUGUAAGUAACUGUGCACAUCUUGACGGUACCUAAUCAGAAAGCCACGGCUAACUACGUG